rnacentral:rRNA from 1 species
CCUACGGGGGGCAGCAGUGGGGAAUAUUGGACAAUGGGCGAAAGCCUGAUCCAGCCAUGCCGCGUGUGUGAAGAAGGCCUUCGGGUUGUAAAGCACUUUCAGUGGGGAAGAAAGCCUUGGGGCUAAUACCCUCGAGGAAGGACAUCACCCACAGAAGAAGCACCGGCUAACUCCGUGCCAGCAGCCGCGGUAAUACGGAGGGUGCGAGCGUUAAUCGGAAUUACUGGGCGUAAAGCGCGCGUAGGCGGUCUGAUAAGCCGGUUGUGAAAGCCCCGGGCUCAACCUGGGAACGGCAUCCGGAACUGUCAGGCUAGAGUGCAGGAGAGGAAGGUAGAAUUCCCGGUGUAGCGGUGAAAUGCGUAGAGAUCGGGAGGAAUACCAGUGGCGAAGCGGUCUUCUGGACUGACACUGACGCUGAGGUGCGAAAGCGUGGGUAGCAAACAGGAUUAGAUACCCGAGUAGUC